rnacentral:rRNA from 1 species
CACGCUGUAAACGAUGAUUACUGGUUGUUAGCGAUAUAUAGCUAGUGACUGAGCGAAAGCAUUAAGUAAUCCACCUGGGGAGUACGUCGGCAACGAUGAAACUCAAAGGAAUUGACGGGGGCCCGCACAAGCGGAGGAACAUGUGGUUUAAUUCGAUGAUACGCGAGGAACCUUACCUGGGUUUAAAUGGGGAGUGCCAGGCGUUGAAAGAUGCUUUUCCUUCGGGACACUCUUCAAGGUGC